UGACAUCCCCUCCCUAAUGACCUAUAAAUCCAGGUGUCAUUGUUGAAGUUCUACAUGGCACAAAAAACAAUUUUGAAUCUACCAGUACCUCUGAAGACUUCUAUCACCGUGAGACUUUUAGGCCCAGAAGAAGACAAAGUCCAUAAUAAACAGUGAUGUGGAUACUGCUCCCAGGAAAGCAGGCAUUGAAGAUGCCAGCAAACACGCAGCAGGAUCCUUUCCUCUCCUCUCAUUUCUCAUCAUUUCACCACACAGCAAAGUGGGCCAGACAGAGACGUUGCUGGCUUAUCGGGCAAACAGGAUGAGAAGUUUCUGUCUCGGAGACCUCUCCCCUGCACGUGGCAGGUGAGAAUGGGCACGCAGGUACCUUCUCUACCUUGUCGCUCAACUUUUACAUCACUUGGAAGUUCUUUGUCUUGUCACAUCACAGCACCUGCUCUGAAGAGUUUCAAACACAGAGCAACAGAUGGCCAUUCUGCGGCACUCAACAGCCUCUGUCUCGCUUGUGGAAUAUUUGCACUUCAUUAGGAACUGGCAGCAAACGAUCAAGGAUUAACCCAACUAGAGCAUGAUUUCUCUGCUAUAAGGGUCAUUCUGAUCUGGGGGAAGCACAAUUCUCUUCCAAAUAACUGUGUUUUAUGCUUUGUUCUUCUGAGAAGGUAUCUCACUACCUCUGGGGUGGCCUGUAUGUAACUCAGGAUCUUCCUGGCUCAGGCUCCCAAAUGCUAAAAUUUAAAGAAUGUACCAUCAUGCCUGGCUUGUACUCUUCUCUGUAUCUAUAAGGGCAUGAGUUGGUGCAAGGACAUAGCUUACUAAGGUGCAUUCUCACUAUGUGUCAUAUACUAUGUGCUUUAUUAAAUAACUGAAUUUAUUUAAUAUCAAGGACUGUCAUUAUUAUUUUGUAGAUGGAAAAACUGAAGCAUACAAAAGAUCCAAAUGUAGCAAGUAAUGGGAAUGGAUUUGGAAGUCAGACAGUCUGAAUCCAGAACCAGAACUCUUGGCCACUAAGAGUUGUGUCUGAAAUGUGAACAGGUGAAAGAUUAUGCUUCUGAAGCUGAAUGUGCUCUCCAGCCUGAUGGGACCACUGCUAGAGCAUAGCUGGAAUAAGGUGAUCACGGAAAGCCAACAGGAAUAUGUCACCUGCUUCCUCAUGCCAACCUGACUCAACCUGUCAUACUUGGGGAUUAUAAGGAGCUUUUCUGACUACAAAACUAAAUGACUAUA